CAGCCCAUGUGUUAAUGGAGUCUGUAAGAACAAUGCAGGCUCUUUCUCCUGUGAGUGCCCACUAGGAAGUGAACUGGACUCCACUGGACUUUUAUGUAUUGACAGUCUGAAGGGCUCGUGCUGGGUAACCCUUCAGGAUGGCCGCUGUGAAGUGAACAUUAACGGAGCUACACUGAGGUCUCAGUGCUGUGCGACGCUGGGAGCGGCCUGGGGAAGCCCAUGUGAACCAUGUCAAAGCGAUCCUGUAUGUCAACGAGGAUUCGCUCGGCCAAGAGGGGCUUCGUGUGAAGAUGUGAAUGAGUGUGAGGUGUUCCCCGGUGUGUGUCAUAAUGGACACUG